rnacentral:tRNA from 1 species
CGGAACAUAGCUAAAAGUAUAGCACUUCCCUUACUCCGAAAAGUUACUCAUUAGUUUGAGUUGUUCUGA